UAUAUAUAGGCUCAUUCACCGCAUUCUGCAAUGACCCAUUCACUUCGUUGUGCUUCUCCAUUUGAAAAUGAGUAGACUCUCUCGCUUAGACUCGUCGUUCUCGUUGGAUGAUGAUGACAAUCCCGAACUCAUCCUUGGUGCACUACAUCAAGCUCAUACUUAAUACCUGGCUAUGUAUACUCCAUAAUGGAGGGCUCUGUACCUGGCCGUCAAUAUAUUCAUCGCGAUAGAGAAGCUGGGCAUUGGAGGUUGUACAAUGAUUAUUUUUCAAAAGCUCUAACAUAUGAUGCUUCUAUCUUUCCGAGCAGGUGUGUAAAAUUGUCCUUUUUUUCUCACCUUCUGCAUCCAUCAAUAUGAAGCUCCACCUGUCCAACAUAUUUUUUAUUCUUGUUUCUUUGACUCAGGUUUAGAAUGGCUCGACCUCCCGCAGUUGAGCAUGAAUAAAAAGAAAUUAAACAACAGCCAGUCAUUUCGAUCUCCAGGGACAGGCGGCGUGCAAAGCUAGGGGCGGGCUGGCCACGGCAGGCGUUGUGCGCAAGGGGCGGGUCGCCGCCGGCCCCCUCGGGCGCGGCCGCGGGGUGGUUUGCCGUCGGGCCCAUGGCCGCGGCUGCGGACAACAGGCUGCCACCGGAUCUACAGUUGAUCAAUGCAAAGGAUUGUUGGAGGCCAUCACAGAUCCGAUGAUGAACAAGACAUCCAGAAGCAGCAACCAAGGACAAUGUCACAUGCCUUCAGCUUUUUAAUACAAUCGGCAGCUCACCUGCCACAUUUCAAAACAUGUAUUCAUAUGUUUCGAGUUCAGAUUUGAGUUAGCAAGGAAUCACAAUAGCAAGUAAAAUGUGUGUGAAACAUAAGCCUCGGUUGCUUAUUGACUUGUACAGUGUCCGUAUAGUGUAAUAUUUUACAUUAUAAGGCCAAGAAGGCAAGAACAGAACAUAAAUAACUGAUCAAUACAGUUACAAUUUUCUCCCA